AAGUAGGAAAAGAGUGAAUAUAAAGAUAGGGAAUAGGCAUACUUCUAUACACUUGCUUGUCUCACUGUUGCCGUAGAGGGGUUUUAGUCGGUAGGUCCGAGGACUUCAUCCUCGGGAAUCCGACACUACUCAGUCGUACGGACGGCUGGGUGUCUUCUGAAGAGUUCCCCUCUUCCACGAAA
rfam:Agrilus planipennis Contig7649, whole genome shotgun sequence.